UUUAUGCUCUCAUUUACAUUACAGAUGGAUCCUAUGGUUCAGACUCAGAUGAGAUAUUCAGUGACCUGUUUUGCAUUGCUUGUAACAAAGAAUUUAAAAGUGACAAAGCAUUUGAAAAUCAUGAAAAAUCAAAGAAACACAAAGAGAAUGUUAUUUUUCUGAAGCUGCAGAUGGAAAAUGAUGAAUUAGAGUUCAUUGGGGAUGAGGCAGAAGAGGAUGUCGUGGAUGGAGAUGAAGUACAAGAAAAUGAAUCUGUGCCUGAAAGUACACAUAAUGAAACACAGCCAACAGAUGAUGUGGAGCAUGUUGUGCAAUUAAAACCCAAGUUA